AGCCUUGUCGGCCCACAAAUAAAGAACAUUUAUCUAUCAAUGUGGUGUUGAGUACUCAUUAUCCCUGUUCAAUAUUAGUGUGUGUGUGUGUGUAUGUAUAU